GACGGGGGAUGCUAGCGUUAUCCGGAAUCACUGGGCGUAAAGCGUCUGUAGGUGGUGAUGCAAGUCACUGGUGCAAAACUCUGGCUCAACCGGAGGAAAGCCAGUGAAACUGCAUGACUAGAGUGUGGGAGAGGUAGAAGGAAUUCCCUGAGUAGCGGUGAAAUGCGUAGAUACAGGGAAGAACACCGGAGGCGAAAUCGUCCUACUGGACCUCAACUGACUCUCAGAGACGAAAGCUAGGGGAGCGAAUGGG
rnacentral:rRNA from 1 species